rnacentral:rRNA from 1 species
UGGAAGUAAAAGUCGUAACAAGGUUUCCGUAGGUGAACCUGCGGAAGGAUCAUUACCGAGUUUUCGGGCUUCGGCUCGACUCUCCCACCCUUUGUGAACGUACCUCUGUUGCUUUGGCGGCUCCGGCCGCCAAAGGACCUUCAAACUCCAGUCAGUAAACGCAGACGUCUGAUAAACAAGUUAAUAAACUAAAACUUUCAACAACGGAUCUCUUGGUUCUGGCAUCGAUGAAGAACGCAGCGAAAUGCGAUAAGUAAUGUGAAUUGCAGAAUUCAGUGAAUCAUCGAAUCUUUGAACGCACAUUGCGCCCCUUGGUAUUCCGGGGGGCAUGCCUGUUCGAGCGUCAUUACAACCCUCAAGCUCUGCUUGGAAUUGGGCACCGUCCUCACUGCGGACGCGCCUCAAAGACCUCGGCGGUGGCUGUUCAGCCCUCAAGCGUAGUAGAAUACACCUCGCUUUGGAGCGGUUGGCGUCGCCCGCCGGACGAACCUUCUGAACUUUUCUCAAGGUUGACCUCGGAUCAGGUAGGGAUACCCGCUGAACUUAAGCAUAUCAAUAAGCGGAGGA